UGGGGACAAUGGGCGCAAGCCUGAUCCAGCCAUGCCGCGUGUCUGAAGAAGGCCUUCGGGUUGUAAAGGACUUUUGUCAGGGAAGAAAAGGCUGUUGCUAAUAUCGACAGCUGAUGACGGUACCUGAAGAAUAAGCACCGGCUAACUACGUGCCAGCAGCCGCGGUAAUACGUAGGGUGCGAGCGUUAAUCGGAAUUACUGGGCGUAAAGCGAGCGCAGACGGUUACUUAAGCAGGAUGUGAAAUCCCCGGGCUCAACCUGGGAACUGCGUUCUGAACUGGGUGACUAGAGUGUGUCAGAGGGAGGUAGAAUUCCACGUGUAGCAGUGAAAUGCGUAGAGAUGUGGAGGAAUACCGAUGGCGAAGGCAGCCUCCUGGGAUAACACUGACGUUCAUGCUCGAAAGCGUGGGUAGCAAACAGGAUUAGAUACCCUGGUAGUCCACGCCCUAAACGAUGUCAAUUAGCUGUUGGGCAACUUGAUUGCUUAGUAGCGUAGCUAACGCGUGAAAUUGGCCGCCUGGGGAGUACGGUCGCAAGAUU
rnacentral:rRNA from 1 species